rnacentral:rRNA from 1 species
UACGGAGGGGGCGAGCGUUAUUCGGAAUUAUUGGGCGUAAAGGGCGCGUAGGCGGCUGUACAAGUCAAAGGUGAAAGCCCCGGGCUCAACCUGGGAAUUGCGCUUGAUACUGCGGCGCUGGAAGGUGGGAGAGGAUGGCGGAAUUCCCAGUGUAGAGGUGAAAUUCGUAGAUAUUGGGAAGAACACCGGUGGCGAAGGCGGCCAUCUGGCCCAUUUUUGACGCUGAGGCGCGAAAGCGUGGGGAGCAAACAGG